UACAAAACAAUCGUUGCGUUACGGCGUAAGCGUAACCAGGCGUAACCUCCAAGUGCGAGUCGACUGGAUUUGUAAAGAAAUUGCUCCAUAUAUAUAAGAACGGGAAACCCAGGAACCGAAGGAUCAAGCCCAAGAUUUUCCCUCCGCUGUGCUGACUCAUGGCGCCAUUGUUGCUCAAUGCUCAUCACAAAAAGUGACUCGUACUCUUGCCAAUGUCAGGCUGACUUUUCAGCAAAGAGCGGCAGAGAAGAGGAAUCCAAUAUCAGCUGUGAUGUACUAGACUUAUCUGAUGCUGUGAUUUUGGCAAGGAAAAACUUGUUGAGUGAGGGUUGUAGUUUGGAGGAUAGCGAGUUUGGUCGCUUGGUUAAUGAGGAUGAUGCUCUUAGGACCUCGUCUUUUGGUUUCAAUCCAAAUCAAACUCAACAAGACAAGAUUGCAGAGGAAUAUUUUCAAAAUUGCCGACUGUCUUUCUAAAGGUUCGAAAUGGAAGAUGUAUUCAUUCACCCAAGCAACGAGUCAAAAUACUCUAAUGUCAAUUGACCCAUUCCAAUCCCAGCAACGUCAAACUGCAGAAGGAAAGGCAAAUUUGGAUUUCCUUCGCACUCGAAGGUCACAGAGA